rnacentral:misc_RNA from 1 species
GAUGAAGAACGCAGCGAAAUGCGAUAAGUAAUGUGAAUUGCAGAAUUCAGUGAAUCAUCGAAUCUUUGAACGCACAUUGCGCCCGCCAGUAUUCUGGCGGGCAUGCCUGUUUGAGCGUCAUUUCAACCAUCAAGCCCCCGGCUUGUGUUGGGGACCUGCGGCUGCCGCAGGCCCUGAAAACCAGUGGCGGGCUCGCUAGUCACUCCGAGCGUAGUAAUACAUCUCGCUCAGGGCGUGCUGCGGGUUCCGGCCGUUAAAAAAGCCUUAUUUACCCAAGGUUGACCUCGGAUCAGGUAGGAAGACCCGCUGAACUUAAGCAUAUCAAUAAGCGGAGGA